AGUUAGGUCUAAAAAGUGAACUUGUGCAUUACUAUAUUCUGAGGUUAGGAUGAUACCCCAAUCAUUGGUAUUUAAAAAGGAUUUGAAGCUUUCCUCCGUACCUUUCCAGAUAAAAAAAAAAUAUUGUCUAUGUAUCUUUUGUAAGUGACCAGGUUCGCCUCCCAGUGGUUAUUGGAUAGAAUUAAAAUUUGUUCCCAAAAUGCCAUAAAAAGAUUGGCAUAACUGGGGGCGAACCUAGUCCCCUUCGCUGUGCCGACCUUUUGUAACUAAAAAUCAUACCCACGU